CCCUAUGGGGGUCUUUCUUGCGGGUCGCCAUGGCGAUUGAGCCGCGCGCGUUCUUGAGGGUGCCGCGCCGGCUUUCAUUUCGAAUCGUCUGGCCCAGGCCCUCGGUCUUCUUUUCGGUCAGGCUGGUAUAGCCGCCGCCCUGAACGAUGAAAUCAGGGAUCACGCGGUGGAAGAUGGUCCCAUCGUAGAACCCGGUGGUCGCGUACUGCACGACCGCCCGCACGGUCGCAGGCGUUCGGUCAGGAUAAAGCUCAACUAUGACCCGGCCCCAGGGCUCGUCAUUACCCGAAGCGAUUCGCAGCUCAACUACCUGGCGUUCGCGAUCAGGACGAAUGGCGGGGGGGC
rnacentral:rRNA from 1 species